CAGCUUGUUAAGUCCAAACUUACCUUCCCUGAUGCCAGUCUCCUUCCUGCUGUUUUUAUCAAGAGGUGCUUAGAAGUCAUCACUCCAGCCUAACAAGUAAAAAACUGAACGAACUGAAAAAUCAACAGCUCUUCUAAGAUCUGUCAGAGACUUGAGGCCAGAGGGCAAAUCACUGCCCCCAAAAUUGGAGAGACAGACAGGCAGACACAGAGAACCCCAACAUGAGCAGAAACUGCUGAACAGAAACUUCUGUUAGAACCCCUCCCCAGGUAGGAAGACUACAUUGUAAUUAAAGUAUGGCUGGAGGCUCAGUGUGGACAAGUCUGAAAAUGAAAAACUCCAGGAGAGCCAGUCACAGGAGGAGCCCUGCAUUUGUGAGCUUUAUCUCUGGGAACUGUACCAGAGGCCAGAGGAGAAAAACACCUUACUUAUAAAGGAGCAAAUAAAACAGUUACUUCUGAUUUCUCAGAAACCAUGCAAGCAAGAAGAAAGUGGAGUGAAAUGUUUAAAGUGCUGAGAGAAGAAAAUCACCAACCUAGAAUUCUGUACCCUGUGAAAUCAUCUUUCAAAAGUGAAGGAGAAAUAAAAGCUUUCUCAGAUAAACAAAAACUGAGAAAAUUUGUUGCCAGUGAUCUGCUCUGUAAGAAAUGUAAAACAAGUUCUUGAGAGAGAAGAAAAAUGACAUGGGUCAGAAACUCAGGUCUACAUAAAGAAAGAAAGAGCACUGGAGAAAGAGUAAGUAAAGUGUCUAUCAUGGUGCCUUCCGUAUGGUGGGAGCGAGAUAAACACUGGCUGCAUGAAGGAAUCGCCGUCACUCGCCGGAUGCCCCUCGUAGCGAGCCUCACUGAGGUCCGAUGCAGCCUCCUGAACGUGCUAAGCCUUUACCUUCUUCCCCAAGACUCUUCCUUCUGCUGUUCCAGUAUUCAAGAUAAAUGAGGUCAGCUGUAGACAAUAAUGUCAAGUGACUCCUAUUAUUUGCUCUUCUUUUGUACCCACUUUUGCCUACUAAGUGGGAGGAGGAAAUAGGGGUGCAGGCAGCUCAGGUCCUGAUGUUACAGUUUGCUUUUCCACCUCAGCCUUCACAGACUACAGGUACCAGCGCCCAAAGUCCCCUCCUUUUACCUGCUAACUAUUAACUGAGGGUGCACAGCACAAUCUUCAGAGGGUGGCGUCUGGACAGCUCCAAUUUUUCAGAGCUCCACUUC